UCCUUUAUCCUGGUGGGGCUCAGACCCGCAAAACCAGGCGGGGAGGGGAAGUGGGCGCGCGGUUGGGUUGCGACCUGGAGCGGUGGGGACAGGUCAGGAACCGGCGCGUAUUUCUGCAGUGAGACCCUAGGACGGACUCUACGCUUUCGGCUUCGAUGGAGUCCCGAUUUUGCUCUUUACAGGGAAACAGUGGAAGGGUGUUUGCUGCUUGUCGAUUCCAGAGGAUAUGCCUGGUUCAUGGGUCCCCGGACAUUCCACUGGAGGCUUGGACUGCAUUUAGGAGCUGCCAUCCCUUCCCUGUCCACACUCCGAUGCUUUGAGCCUCUUUGGUUUUCCAGCCAGACCCAGAAAAACGAAAACACAGCUUGGGGAGCCCCCACUAGCUGGCGCCUGUGCCAGCUCACCUCUGGCCAUGGCGGCAGCUGCCGGUGCACAAGGCGGCCAAAGCCAGCUCCACAAUCUUCCCUCCCCCUCCCACUUCACCGGAGCUCGGAACCCUGCGUGCAGAGGAAGGGCCUCAGCUCCACAGACGACUGGGUCCCUCCUCACCAAAAAUGGUGA
rnacentral:lncRNA from 13 species